GAAUGGUGCCCAGGUUGAAGAAGCAGGAGGCGGGGAGAGACUGGGGGAUGGAUGCUCAAGCUCAGCUGUGGCCCUUUUGAGAAGUGAAAGGAAGAUUUAUGAUGCCAUUUGUCAACUGGAAAACGGAUGGAGGUACCCAGAUGCGUGAACUCCGUGUUUGAGCGGAGGGAUCUUCCUAAUUCAAUGAGAGAAGCAGACUUCAUGCAGCCAGAAGGAUUUGGAUUAGACAGUCAAGGACUUCCUGCCUGUUAAAUGAUCAGAAGAAGGUAAGGCUUUUCUUGCCGGCUCCCAUGUCCUCUGACAUGAGCCAGGCACUCUCUGAU
rnacentral:lncRNA from 1 species